rnacentral:rRNA from 1 species
GACGAACGCGGCGGCGUGCCUAAUACAUGCAAGUCGAACGCUUCUUUUUCACCGAACUUCGGUUCAUCGAAAAAGAGGAGUGGCGAACGGGUGAGUAACACGUGGGUAACCUGCCCAUCAGAAGGGGAUAACACUUGGAAACAGGUGCUAAUACCGUAUAAUGCUUUUUCUCGCAUGAGAGCAAGCUGAAAGGCGCUUUUGCGUCACUGAUGGAUGGACCCGCGGUGCAUUAGCUAGUUGGUGAGGUAACGGCUCACCAAGGCCACGAUGCAUAGCCGACCUGAGAGGGUGAUCGGCCACACUGGGACUGAGACACGGCCCAGACUCCUACGGGAGGCAGCAGUAGGGAAUCUUCGGCAAUGGACGAAAGUCUGACCGAGCAACGCCGCGUGAGUGAAGAAGGUUUUCGGAUCGUAAAACUCUGUUGUUAGAGAAGAACAAGGAUGAGAGUAAAAUGUUCAUCCCUG